UAGCCAAGAUAGAUCUGAUG
rnacentral:siRNA from 1 species